rfam:Coprinopsis cinerea okayama7#130 cont3.68 mitochondrial, whole genome shotgun sequence.
GCCUCGGUUGCUUAGUGGUCAAAGCGCUAUUCUGAAGAUAUAGAGAUGGGAGUUCAAUUCUCUCCCGGGGCA